rnacentral:lncRNA from 1 species
CCCGAGGCCUUUGCUGUUGCCCUUUGCCAGACAUGUAAACUGGCACUGCAAGUGAAGUAGACAAGGGAGUUAUCUUCUGACAGAGUGAAGGAACUGAUGAAUUAUUUGCUGCAGUGCAAAUACAGCAAAACCAAGUGUAUCAACAAACAAGAUGCUCUCAACGGAAAACCACCGAAAAAGGAAGGGAUUCCUUGCAGAUGUGCUGGAAAUACACUAGACUUCGGGGAUGUGUUCCCUAGACAGCCUUCUCGUGGCAGCCACAGAGUUCACACAGCCAGCUCCCUUGCUUGCCCUCCACCCUCCGUGUUUCUUCCAAUACAACUGGAGCUCUCUUCAUUUUUGGUAGUGUUAUGGCUUGGAUGUGAGAUGUC